CGAGGAGAAGCAGGUAAGGGCACACGGGGGAUGCCUAGGCGCCAGGAGCCGAUGAAGGGCGGGGCGAACUCCGAUAAGCCUCGGGGAGCUGUAAGCGAGCGUUGAUCCGGGGAUUCCCGAAUGGGGCAACCCACCGGUCUGACGAGGGCCGGUACCGCCACCUGAAUCCAUAGGGUGGACGGGGGCACACCAGGGGAACUGAAACAUCUUAGUACCCUGAGGAGAAGAAAGCAACAUGCGAUUCCCUCAGUAGCGGCGAGCGAACGGGGAACAGCCCAAACCGGCGGGCUUUGGCCCGUCGGGGUUGUAGGGCGUCCCACACGGAGUGACAAAGGAUGCCGGUAGGUGAAGUGGUCUGGAACGGCCCGCCAUAGACGGUGAAAGCCCGGUAACCGAAACCGGCGUCCCUCCGGGACGGACCCUGAGUACCGCGGGGCACGGGAAACCCCGUGGGAAGCAGGGAGGACCACCUCCCAAGGCUAAAUACUCCCUGGCGACCGAUAGUGAACCAGUACCGUGAGGGAAAGGUGAAAAGCACCCCGGGAGGGGAGUGAAAGAGUACCUGAAACCGUGUGCCUACAAGCAGUCGGAGCGGGCGUUGACCCGUGACGGCGUGCCUUUUGUAGAAUGAACCGGCGAGUGACGAUGGUGUGCGAGGUUAAGGCUUGAAGGCCGGAGCCGCAGCGAAAGCGAGUCUGAACAGGGCGCAUGAGUACAUCGUCGUCGACCCGAAACCGGGUGAUCUACCCAUGUCCAGGGUGAAGGCAGGGUAAUGCCUGCUGGAGGCCCGAACCCACUGGUGUGGAAAAACCAGGGGAUGAGGUGUGGGUAGGGGUGAAAUGCCAAUCGAACUCGGAGAUAGCUGGUUCUCCCCGAAAUAGCUUUAGGGCUAGCCUCGGAAGAGAGUCGCGGAGGUAGAGCACUGAUUGGGCUAGGGGCCCUUCCCGGGUUACCGAACUCAGUCAAACUCCGAAUGCCGUGGACUCGUUUUCCGGGAGUCAGACUGCGAGUGCUAAGAUCCGUAGUCAAGAGGGAAACAGCCCAGACCGCCGGCUAAGGUCCCCAAGUGUUCGUUAAGUGGGAAAGGAUGUGGAGUUGCCCAGACAACCAGGAUGUUGGCUUAGAAGCAGCCAUCAUUGAAAGAGUGCGUAAUAGCUCACUGGUCGAGUGACUCUGCGCCGAAAAUGUAACGGGGCUAAACGGACCACCGAAGCCGCGGAUGCCUAAGGGCAUGGUAGGGGAGCGUUCCCGGGGCGUCGAAGCUGCAUCGCGAGGUGCGGUGGAGCGCCGGGAAGUGAGAAUGCCGGUGUGAGUAACGAAAAGAGGGGUGAGAAUCCCCUCCGCCGAAAGCCUAAGGGUUCCUGAGGAAGGUUCGUCCGCUCAGGGUAAGUCGGGACCUAAGCCGAGGCCGAAAGGCGUAGGCGAUGGAGAACAGGUUGAAAUUCCUGUACCACCUCCACUCCGUUUGAGCGACGGGGGGACGCAGGAGGGUAGGGGAUCGCGCGACUGGAAGUGCGCGUCCAAGCGGUUAGGCGGGUGUGUAGGCAAAUCCGCACGCCAUAUACGCUGAGCCGUGACGGCGAGGGAAACUAAAGUACCGAAGUCCCUGAUCCCACACUGCCGAGAAAAGCCUCUAGCGAGGAGUGAGGUGCCCGUACCGCAAACCGACACAGGUAGGCGGGGAGAGAAUCCUCAGGCGCUCGGGAGAACUCUCGUUAAGGAACUCGGCAAAAUGACCCCGUAACUUCGGGAGAAGGGGUGCCCCGGUAGGGUGAGCCUUCGGGCGAGCCCGAGGGGGCCGCAGUGAAGAGGCCCAAGCGACUGUUUAGCAAAAACACAGGUCUCUGCGAAGCCGCAAGGCGAAGUAUAGGGGCUGACGCCUGCCCGGUGCUGGAAGGUUAAGGGGACGAGUUAGCCCUCGGGCGAAGCUCUGAACCGAAGCCCCAGUAAACGGCGGCCGUAACUAUAACGGUCCUAAGGUAGCGAAAUUCCUUGUCGGGUAAGUUCCGACCCGCACGAAAGGCGUAACGACUUGGGCGCUGUCUCAACGAGAGACCCGGUGAAAUCGUACUCCCUGUGAAGAUGCAGGGUACCCGCGACAAGACGGAAAGACCCCGUGGAGCUUUACUGCAGCCUGAUAUUGGAUCCGGGUACGGUUUGUACAGGAUAGGUGGGAGCCGGAGAAGCCGGGCCGCCAGGUUCGGUGGAGGCGUCGGUGGGAUACCACUCUGACCGUGCCGGGGUUCUAACCCGCGGCCGUGAUCCGGUCGGGGGACCGUGUCAGGUGGGCAGUUUGACUGGGGCGGUCGCCUCCUAAAAGGUAACGGAGGCGCCCCAAGGUUCCCUCAGCGCGGUUGGAAAUCGCGCGCAUAGAGUGCAAAGGCAGAAGGGAGCUUGACUGCGAGACGGACUUGUCGAGCAGGGACGAAAGUCGGGCUUAGUGAUCCGGUGGUUCCGAGUGGAAGGGCCAUCGCUCAACGGAUAAAAGCUACCCCGGGGAUAACAGGCUUAUCUCCCCCAAGAGUCCACAUCGACGGGGAGGUUUGGCACCUCGAUGUCGGCUCAUCGCAUCCUGGGGCCGAAGUCGGUCCCAAGGGUUGGGCUGUUCGCCCAUUAAAGCGGUACGCGAGCUGGGUUCAGAACGUCGUGAGACAGUUCGGUCCCUAUCUGUCGCGGGCGUAGGAAAUCUGAGAGGAUCUGCCCUUAGUACGAGAGGACCGGGGUGGACGCACCGCUGGUGUACCAGUUGUGCCGCCAGGCGCACCGCUGGGUAGCCAAGUGCGGAAGGGAUAAGCGCUGAAAGCAUCUAAGCGCGAAGCCCCCCUCAAGAUGAGAUUUCCCACUCGCAGGCUUGCCUGUGAGGUAAGACCCCUCGGAGAAGACGAGGUAGAUCGGUCCGAGGUGUAAGCGCAGCAAUGCGUUCAGCUGACGGAUCCGAAUCGGUCGAGGGCUUCUCCU
rnacentral:rRNA from 1 species